AGACCAUUUUCAAACUUCACUUCCCUAAUUACUUCCCUGUUCCCUCCCUCUCAGAACACUAAACUUGCCCAUCAAGACAGUCACUCAUUGCCACUCACCCCCACUGAGUCGAUGCUGCUGUUGCUACACUCUCUGGCGUCGCCACCACUACUGAUACACUCUUUGGCGUCGCCGCUUCUUCUCCCAAAGUACCCUGUCGUCGCUCCCUCCACUGAAGCACCAUCCUCGCUGUCACACUCGCGGUCAUACUUUCUUUCUCAUAGUAUCAUCAACACACCACCAUCAACGCAUCACGUCCACCACGACAUCUUCACUCUGACUCUUGUGUCCAACCUUCCCCGUCGCGCCGCACCACUAAUCGAGCCCUGAUUUCAGAUGGAUAACAAACAGAUGCCAGGUCAAGGAGUAAUGGAUAGGUUUCCUGAUGAUAUAAUAGCUCAGAUUUUGAUCAGGUUACCUGUCAAAUCAAUUCACCGUUUCAAAUGCGUUUCGAAAGUCUGGAAUUCCAUCAUCAAGAAUGGUCGUUUUGUAUCUUCGUAUAUCUCACUUCAUGGGCCUUCAUGGGUUAUUUUGGUUCGUAUGGUUCGAGUAGACACCAAGUCAAAUGCAAGGGUAACUCAGUUUGAUCUCCAAUACCCCCCGGAAGUGAGCUUCUUCCAAAUUGCUCCUUAUCAAAUGGCUGAUGAACCAUUUCUGGAAUCUGUAGAUGGAAAGCACCCAAGUAUCAUGCACUGUAGUAAUGGUGUCAUUCUGUUUCAAUUCAGAACCAAGAGAAAGCCUUAUGAACAUGAGACUUAAUGCUUAAUGGACAACCUUAUUUUGAUGAUAGAUUUGAGGAAGACGCUUUAUUGUAGCCAACCCGCUCACUGGUGAGUGGGUCCCAAUUCCGAAGCCUCCUUAUGCCGUUUUGCACGGGGGUGCUGUUGGGUUUAUUUCUCAGGUUGACUCAACUGGGAUUUUUGAGAGGUUUCUAGUUGUUGAAUAUCACCACUUAAUGGGUCAAAUGUUGCUACUUUAAUGUGUUUUUCUUCGGAAACUGGGAAAUGGGUGACAAAAUCUGCAAACUAUAUGCUAUAUAUGCAUCAAUAUGGGUGCGAUGGGGCUUUCGAGUUUGAUGGCAAGUUGUAUUGGGCUGAUAUGCAGUGUGGGUUAAUAGUGUGGGAUGACCCCUUUGGUGAUUUGGACAAGAAGGAAAAAGUUGAAUGCCGAUUUAUUCCAUCACCGGUGCAUUUCAAGGAUGUCUUAGUGGGUGGAGGGUUCAUUCAAUGUGUGCAAAUAUCUGGGGAGGGAGAGGGAUAUCGUGGUUUUUUAAGUUUGUGGAGGUUGAAGGAUAAUGGAGGUGAAGGAGAGUGGAGUUUGGCACAUAAAGUGUCAUUUUCUGACAUCUGGUCUGAUGAGAGUUAUUUAGCUUAUGGUUUGAGUGAAGUAAUUCCACGUUAUUGUUUUAUCCAUCCCUGGGAAGCUGAUAUUGUAUUCUUCCAUAUUCAAGGCCGGAUUUUUUCGUUGAAUGUUCGCACUAAAAAGGUGGAGAGUUGUGGAGAUGGUUACUCGAGUAUUAUUGAAUCUGUGUUUGUCAUCCCAUAUGUGCUGCCAAGUUGGCCAACAUCACUCCCUCCUUGUUUGACUGCUGGUAAUGCAAAAGAACAGGGCAAUAAAUAUUUCAAGGCUAAAAAAUUCAAUGAAGCUAUAACCUGCUACACCAGAAGCAUUGCUCUGUUACGAAAUGCUGUAGCUUAUGCUAAUAGGACGAUGGCAUAUAUCAUGGUCAGCAGAUUCCAUGAGGCUGAGGAUGAUUGUACACAGGCCUUGAACUUAGAUCCUCUGUACUUUAAAGGUUAUUGUCGCCGAGCAAUAGCUAAAAAGGAACUUGGUAAUCUUGAGGGAUCCAUGGAAGAUGUAGUGUCAUCCUUAGAGUUGAAACCAGAUAACAAACAAAUGAAGCAGAAAUAUGUUGAACUUAAGUCCUUGCUUGAGAAGGUACUCUUUUUGUUAUGUGAUGACUGGGAAAUGGUUGGAAGGAUGCCUAAAUACUUUGUAUGAAGUUGGAUGAACGCAUAGGAAUGAUUAUGAUUGUGCAGAUGUUUAGCUCCUUUCUAGUCCUAAACUUUGUCAAGUAAGGUGCCAAAUUUCAACACGUAGAAUACCCGCCAACAAUGCAAUAAAAAUUGCUUACGGCAUCUACUGAUGUCUGCUCCAAAGGAAAACUCGCGUAUAUUCAAUGGACAAAUUAUUCAGGAUCAACGUAUGGUUGUAUACUCUAAUUUUCAACCUUCAACACAAUUUUAAGAAUUUGUUUUUCGGCCAUCAAAAAAUAAUGUUCUUCAUAUGUGGGAGGCGGUUUCUUGCCUAAUUAGUCAUGUGGAGGAUAAAGUCACGUCCUUUUGCAAUUUUUAAUCACAAUUUUCUCCAUAAGUAACCAUUCACACACUAGAACACAAUUAAUUAAUUACUGUUAAACAAGCAAGCAGUUUUUGUUUUUUUUUCUGUGCAUCUGAUUUUGUGUUGUUUGAUUUCUACUCUUGUUUAUCUCUCUGUCACAUAAAUCACACCGACUUUUCUAUGGUUGUCUGAGUGUUCAACUACCAUGCUCAUUUUGUUUGUCUAUGGUUGUUGGCAUGAAAUUUCAAUUGUUUGUUAAACUAUGAUGUAUUAAGUUUAUGUUUAGGUGAUUGAGAACUUCCAUUGUCCAAAUCUGAAUACGGAGUAAUAUAGCUUCUGCUUAUGCUCUGUUGCAAUUCUGUUUUUCUUUUCAGUGUCUGACAUUGAUAAGCUCCUGUUCUUAUGGGUCUCAUGGAAGGUUUCAUUGUACUGAGCUUGUGCAUUAUUUGCUAUUGUUUGCAUUUUUGCACUUUGAUUUAUUUUGAAUGGUAAGAAUUAAUGUUGGUCUUCCUGGUGAAAAGGUUUCCAAUUCUCCAACUUGUUCUCCUUGCCACUCUUCAUUUGGUGUAUUGCUUUGGUCUUAAUUAAUCGUGGAGCAUUUAUCCUCCUUUUCGAUCUGUUUUUUCACAGCAAUGUUGCUUACAAUGUUUGAGUCUUAGCUACUCCACUAUGGACAAACAAUUUCUUGAGAAUUUACUAAUCUGACAAUGAUGAAAUAAUUUAGUCCUACCCUUUAUAUACUGGUGUUUAUGGUUUUUGCAGAAGACUGCAGAUUGUAAUAAAGCUUAAUCCCAAUCUAAUAAGAGAUGUUGGGUUAUUUCUGUGUUUAUAUUGGUAGGUCAAGUAUGAUAUUGUGUUGUUUUUGUUUACGUUGAGAGUGAUUGUAUUUGUAUGACAUUCUGUCUCUUUGCUAUACUGCAUAACAAAGGCACUGUCAUUUUCUUUCAUAAACAAUGUUUUAUGUUUGAGAAUAUUUCGAUUGUAGAGUUGUUCACUUCUAUGUUACUUGUGGUUUUGUGGUUCUUUUUAAACUAAUGUAAUGCAUUAACUAACUAUAUCCGUGUAUGAUUAUAUAUGACCUAAAAUGCAUUUGUUGCUGUCUAGCUACCUAUGCAGCAGCUGGUUUCGACUUUCUGAAAGUAU